GCCGGGCCGGGCCGGGCCGGGCCGUGUCGCUCCCUGCCCGGGGUUCCGCGGCGCCGCCGCCCCCGCUCGCCGCCGAGGCCAGCCGGGCGAGGCCGGGGCAGCGGGUGCCCGCCGGGGCCUGCUGGGCAAGGCCGGUGGCAGCAGGUGCCCGCCUCAGGGAGGGGAGCCCUCGGCGCCGUCGCCCCGCUGUUGACGGGCGGCCCCGGCCAUGCCGCCCGCCAAGGCCGGCGGCAAGGGGGCCUUGGUGCUGCAGUGCGAGUGGGAGCAGUGCACCUACGUGGCCUCCAAGAUGGAGGAGUUUUGCGAGCACGUGUCCCAGCACCUGCAGCAGCAUCUCCCCGAGGAGCACCGGGACGAGGUGGACCCUCUCGAGGAGUACACGUGUUUGUGGCAGGAAUGCGGUUUCUGUUCACCAGAGAGCUCAGCUGACCUCAUUCGCCAUGUCUAUUUCCACUGCUACCACACCAAGCUGAAGCAGUGGGGGUUGCAGGCCCUGCAGAGCCAGUCAGACCUGAGCCAUUGCCAGCUGGACUUCCAGAGCCGCAACAUCAUCCCCGAGACCCCAGAUAACUUCCUGUGUCUGUGGGAGUACUGCGAGAGAUCAUUUGACAAUCCCGAGUGGUUCUAUCGGCACGUGGAGGAUCACAGCUUCUGUUUGGAGUACAAGGCACCAGGGAAGGAGAACCACGUGGUCCACUGUGGCUGGAAAGACUGUGACGGCAGCUUCAAGGGCCGCUGCAAGCUGCGGGAGCACCUGCGCAGCCACACGCAGGAGAAGGUGGUGGCCUGCCCGACCUGUGGAGGGAUGUUUGCCAACAACACCAAGUUCUUUGACCACAUCCGCCGCCAGACCGCCCUGGACCAGCAGAGGUUUCAGUGUUCUCACUGCUCCAAGAGGUUUGCCACGGAGAGGCUGCUCCGCGACCACAUGAGGAACCACGUGAACCACUACAAGUGCCCUCUGUGUGACAUGACCUGCCCCCUGCCCUCCUCCCUGCGCAAUCACAUUCGUUUUCGGCACAGUGAGGAGCGGCCGUUCAAGUGUGACUACUGUGACUACAGCUGCAAGAAUCUGAUUGACCUGAGGAAGCACCUAGACACGCACAGCAAAGAGCCAGCCUAUCGCUGCGAGUUUGAGGCUUGCAGCUUCACUGCACGCUCCGUCUGCUCCAUCAAACUGCACUACCGGAAAGUCCAUGAGGGUGACUCAGAGCCCCGGUACAAGUGCCAUGUCUGUGACAAGUGCUUCACACGUGGAAACAACCUCACUGUCCACCUCAGGAAGAAACACCAGUUCAAAUGGCCUUCGGGGCAUCCUCGCUUCAGGUACAAGGAACAUGAGGAUGGCUACAUGAGGCUGCAGCUGGUGCGUUACGAGAGCGUGGAGCUGACAGAGCAGCUGCUGAAGGACAGAGAGAAGCGUGGGGAGGCGCUGGAGGGCUCAGCCGAGUGCGUGGUGCUGUCUGAGGGGGAGGGCCACCUGCGGGGCAUCAUUCUAGAGGCCCCAGCAGAGGCACCACCGGCAGAGAGCAGCGUUGCUGAGCUGCAGGUGGCCCCACUACCCCCAGCCCCUUGUCCUGCGGCCCCCCAAGGUGCCUUCCCGGGAGCAGCGCUGCCAGCACAGCCGGAACCCAGCGCCCCGGCGAGCCCCAUCGUGCGGGUGGUGAACCGCACCAACGAGCACGGGGAGAGUGAGACUGUGUAUUACAUCCUGACCAGCACAUCUCCUGAGGAGCCCGUGGCAGCAGCAGCCACUGGGCUGCCUAUGGAGUUGGAGGAGAACGUCAUGGACCGGCUGCAGAAGACGGCUGAGGAGCUGGGCAUCCAGAUUGUGUGAGCAUCCUGGUCUUGUGUGCAUGGAGACCAAGUUCACUUUGUCCUGGGAGAGCAGAGAGGUGGGCCUGUGAUCUGAGGGGCAGGGGAGGAGGGCAGUGUGAAGUAUGGGACUGGGCCUUCUCUCCCUCGCUGUGCUGACCAUGCUGGUCUCCUGUGAAAACCCAGAAGGAGCUGGCUUGCAGAAAAGCUGGAGGCUGCUGGUGGAUGCACUCGAAACAGCAGAGUCCAGAGUGGGCUGAGACGAGCCUAUGCUGGGCUUGUACCACUUCCCUGUGGGUCUCUGAGGGCUGGGAGCUGGUGGGAAGGAUGAUCCUCAGCCCCCAGCUGAGCCUUGAUCUGCCUUGCUCCCUGUG